rnacentral:rRNA from 1 species
AAUCUGCCGCAAUGGACGAAAGGCUGACGGAGCAACGCCGCGUGAGUGAUGAAGGNUUNNGUCUCNUNAAACUCUGUUGUUAANNNNNAACACUUGAGGNAGUAACUGGCCUUGAGAUGACGGUACUUAACCAGAAAGCCACGGCUAACUAUGUUCCAGCAGCCGCGGUAAUACGUAGGUGGAUAGCUGUAACCGGAAUUAUUGGGCGUAAAGCGCGCGUAGGCAGUAAAAUAAGUCUGAUGUAAAAGCCCCCGGCUCAACCGGGGAGGGUCAUUGGAAACUGUUUUACUUGAGUACAGAAGAGGGGAGUGGAAUUCCAUGUGUAGCGGUGAAAUGCGCAGAGAUAUGGAGGAACACCAGUGGCGAAGGCGGCUCUCUGGUCUGUUACUGACGCUGAGGUGCGAAAGCGUGGGGAUCAAAC